GACGAGCUGGCUGCUUCUCUAGACAGUCUGCAGAAAGCCAAGAUGGCCUCAGAAAGCCAGAUGAAGAAGCUGGAGGAGCAGCUGUCAGAGGCCAACAAAAGAGCGGAGGACAUGCAGAGGGCCCAGGCCGAGCUCACUGUGGCCAGGAACCGACUCUCAGCUGAUAAUGCAGACUUGAGUCUACAGAUGGAAGAGGCAGAGAGCAGAGCCAGCC